GAAUACAACCGGAAGAUGAACUGUCAAAGUUGGCGCAUUAUUUGAAGAUCUCUGCAACAAUGUAAAUAUAUAUUAAUUUGGCUUGUCUAUCCACUUAUGAACUUCCUUUGACAUAAAAAGCCUAUUUGCUUGCAUAAUUAUAGAAAUGUAGAGGUAUUCCAACAACUGUCAGUAACAUAUUAGGGCCUGGGCUUGGUGUUUUUUUAACCACAACUUUACUUUUAAUAGUCUAUUAUUAUAAUUCAGUGGCGGGUUUAAGGGGGAGGGGGGGGGGUGGGGGGUUCAUCAAUGCAUCUGAAAAGGGACAUGUAGUUGGAUUAACCCCCCUUUUGUCCUGGGGUAGGACCCCCCUUUUUUAAAUGGCUGGAUCUGCCCCUAUAAUUUAUAAUGGUAUCGGGAUCGUUCGCCCUGAUUACAUGUUCGCCCUAGGUUCGUUCGCACUGAGUUUGUUCGCCCUGGUAAUCCGUUCGCCCUGGGUUCGUUCGCCCUAUUUUCAUUUAUGAUAUGUAUAUGUAUUUUUAUUGCUGAUUAGGUAUGAUUUGAAAUCUUUGAUAUCACUGAUUGGUAUAUGAAUUGCCUUUGAUAGAUUAAUAAUGAAAAUAACAUUUUUCUCAAAUAAAAUAGUCAGUUGGAUGGGUAAAACACUGAUGUACAAAUUGUUAGGCAUGAACUUAUAACCUAGUACAGCUAGCUGUAGACAACAUAAUACAUCGUAAAUAUUCGGCGAAAUUGUAGACCGACUUCAACAUAUUUAAUUAAAUACACACAACACAACACUAUACUAAAAAAUAAAAAUCGUAAAUAUUCGGCGAAAUUGUAGACUGACUUCAACAUAUUCAAUUAAAUACACACAACACAACACUAUAAUAAAAAAUAAAAAUCAGGUAUCAGGGCGAACGGUCUCAGGGCGAAACGGAACUAGGGCGAACCGAAAUCAGGGCAGACGGACCUGGAUUCAUUUAUAAUAUAAAAGGUAGUCCAAAUAAUUAUGACGUCUUGAAAGCGGGUCUGAUCCCCACAGGCACUUGUUUCUAUCCAUACGAAGGUCGACUAUCCAUAUAAAUAGUCUAUCCGUACGAAGGUCCACUAUCCAUAUAAAUAGAAUCUAUUUAUAUGGAUAGUUGACCUUCAUAUGGAUAGAAACAAGUGCCUGUGCUGAUCCCGGAUCACACUCAUUGUUUAGUGAGAAUCCUAUAUCCAACUUCUAGUUGCCAAAUUAGUGCUUGUAAUUUCUUUUACUAUUUUCACUCUUAAAUAUUAUUUAUUACUUUUACGUGUCAAGCUUAAUAAAAAUCAGCCAAUCACGCUUAGACCCCAAUGAGACCCACUUGAAAUGGUGUCAAAGCAAAAAAAAUUAAUAGCCUUUCAAGAUUUCAUAAUUAUUUGGACUAAAGUCUAUAUAAAAGGAUACUCAAAUAGACAGUACAAUUAAAGUAUAAGUGAGUUUUUACAAGAGUUAAGAUUGUUCAUACCAGACUUUAAUAUACAUCCAAGAGAGACAAUCCAGUGUCAAACAGCAACACCUACUAAAUACAGACCUUAUCGUUAUUUGGAAAUCUACGUUGCAGUGCUUGACCUAAGAAUCUGCUCCUUUGAAUUUUUAAUAUCCUACGGCAAUCACUUUUCCAUUAUCAUAAUGGCAUCAGAUUUUUCUGUGUUUUACCAGAAGCUCUGUGAUUGUCCAGUAAUGCCUAAUGGCAGACAAAUAGACCCCUUGAAUGACAUAGGUGCUGAUUAUCAAUUAUAAAAAAAUAAUUUGCUGAAUAAUUCAUGCAAUAUAGCAUCAUAUAAAUAUAACAUUCACAGACAGAAAUCUUCCUUAUCGGAAUAAUUGUUCAAAUGUACCCAUACAUUUUUUUCAGAUAAAAACUAUGCGGUUGACAUGCAAUGUAGAUUUGGUGAAUAGAAAUCUUCCAUCAGCUAAUAUUAAAAAAUCAAGUAAAGCUCAGCAUACACAAUUGUCUAUUGGUAAAAAACCAGGUGGGGGAUCAAAAGAGGCUCCAUUAUUUUUAAUGAUGUGUACAGCCAAAG
rnacentral:lncRNA from 1 species